rnacentral:lncRNA from 7 species
AAUGCUUUAUUUUCACCUUCAGGAAACUUUUUAACUUUACCUCCUGAGCAUCAAGGAAGCGUCCCUGAGUCCACCAGAGACAGGAGCUGGGCAACUGCACAGCAACGUGAGAGGAACAGAAACUUUAUAUUCUUUGUCUCUGCUUGUAUAACAGUGGAAUAUAAAUAGAUGGUGGGGAGGGGAGGGCAAGGGAACACCAUGAGGAAAACAGCAGUGGCUGGAGUAUAUACAAGAAAAUAUCCUCUGCAGUAUUUGGUGUGUACUCAGAAAGAUGUCUUCUGAAAGUACCCUGGAUUGGAAACUCCUUGAGAAAAGGAUCCUUGUCCUCAGAACAAAACCAUUUCCCUGAAGGCCACCAACUGAAAAUGAAGCUCUUGUGUGUCUGUGCGUGCCCUACAUUCGCAAUUUGUUCACCUAUGUUGGUUAAGUCCCACACCACUGUGCAGACUAGAAAGGAACCAUAAAGUUUGUGGUCAGCAUUCCAGCAUAUGAAGAUAUCAGAGCUUCUCAUUCAAUUUUAUUGGGGUACAUGUAUUGCCUGUGAACUGCCAAGUUUCUACAUGAUGUUUUGAACAAGAACAUUAUUAGCUCUCCAAUUGUGGAUUUAAUCACGCAUGGAACAUAAAUGUUAGAGAAGGAUAUCUGAGUAUCGUCUCUACACCAUCGCAUAUGCAAUGCCAAUGAUUCCCUGAGCAAGAAAUAAAGGAAUGUGCAAACCUGCAUGUGGGCACCAUCGCACAACUGAUUCUUCUGGGCUGGUAUGGAGAUUGUUUUCAACUCAUUACCAGAUGGAAGGGGUCGAAUCACUCAGUUGAUGCCCACGACUUAUAUAUCAGCCAUAGGAGUACCAUCUCACAAAUGCUGCCCCUCGCUUUUGGCCUUCCCAGCCAGCCGUGGCAGCAGGGAGGCACAUUUCUACCAGUCUCGUUUGUAUUGCACGUUGGCCCCACGUCUCCACUGCAAGCUGUUCUCUGAACUGUGUGCUUUAUUUUCUUCCUUUACGCUGCCUCCUUAAAAUAUUUAACAGCUGCACAUGCGCUGUCAGCUUCUUGAAGAUAGAGGUGUGUGG